rnacentral:tRNA from 1 species
GGGCCGUUAGCUCAGUCGGUAGAGCAACUGGCUUUUAACCAGUGUGUCACAGGUUCGAACCCUGUACGGCCCACCA